UUUACUUUGAAAAAGUCACCUGUUGAUGAAGUGAAAAGGAAAUAAACGGAGAUGUGGGUGGAAGAAGUGCCGCAAUGGAUGAUCGAAUUGGGAUGUGAAUCCUGGUAGUCGGUGUGGGCCCCCGUGUCUCAUUUUGUAAAAUGUUCACGAGGAGAGUAUCCCGUUACUUGGUUUGUGCUUGUGACUCGAUCUUCAUUUGUCAAUAUCGCAGGUAUCGGAGGAGAAUCAAGAUGUGAACGACAACGGUGCGUACGGUUCCCGUUACUUGGCAACAACCGGAAUUAAAUUAGUAAAAUUGGCAAGAUCCGUUUGGACUUGGAAUGUACGUUCUGAAAUUACUCAAAGCUGCGGGGGGAAAACUGAAAUGGACUCCAAAAAGAUAAACUGACGCAGUGGAAUUGUUUGUAAAGCAGAGAAACGUAGGUCUAGAGCGUAACAAAUGGAGUUUUAACGAAAUAAUGCAGAAUUGACGGAGUUUCGACCGUAAGUACCAGCAUUUCGAUGAAAUUGUCACAAUCGUAGCACAGUGUUCUGCAAGCCUGUGGUCAUUCGACUGUAUAUUAGCACGUUGGCUGCCACAGGUACAGCCGACUGUCGUAGGAGAUAGUAUUUCAUGACGCAGGUUGUACACAUGGGGUGACCGUUUAACAAAAGUUUUUAGACUUUAAACGACUAUCACUUCGCCAUCAUUGAGACCUACAGCACCACCAAGUAAACAAGUCUCUCAGAAAAUAUGCGAACUAAUUUAGAAAAGCAGGCGUGUACAGUCCGUAAAAAAUGUGAUAGUUGCGCCAAUUUUAUCCGUACGGCAAGAAAAGAGAAACAAACCUCUGCAAUUGUGCAUUCCGAAGCCAGAAAUGUUAUUAAAAGGGUCGUGGAAUUCUUCGGCAAAGAGAAAGCUGCCGGUGUGUAGAUAUUUCCUUUGGGAAAGGGUGCUAGCUGCUGCUGCGACCGGCAAACCAACGAAAUUCAUAACCAAGAUUAGAUCGAAGUCAAACUUGCCGAUGAUAGGACAUGGAAAUUUCCAUCAAAGACGCAACGAAGUGCAACUUCCUACAAAAUAACAUUGGAUAAUUCUCAUUUAGGCGUAUUGAAGAAUGCAAUUUAUAUGAUCCAUAACAAAGUCUCUACAAUAAAUAAUUUAGUUAAUAAAAUGAAGAAGCGAAAAUUGACUGCAUUGGAGGUAAAGAUCACAUUUUUUGACGAAACCUACGUCCAUCCAUUUAAUGGAGUGCUUGCUAACAGAAGAAGAACCUGGUGUAUAUAAAACUGACUGAAGCAGGAUGAAAUAAAUUGGGUACAGCUCAUCAUCAAAUCGAAAAGUAUAAGUCUGGAUACGACAUAAUCCACAUUAAGAGAUUGGAAGAAUCAACUUGGCAACGCCAUGGAUUGUUAGAUGAAGCUGUAGAAAGUUUAUCUUUCACGGUAAUCACUGGCACAUCAAGCGAAGGUUCUGAAAUCAGUGAGGAAGAAAGUGACGACGAUAGCGUUUAAUUAGUUUUAAAUACGCACUGCUUUGUCAUUAGUAGUACCAUUUUAUACAAUGGUAGUACUUAGGUAACUAUUUUGUUAUUUCGAUUUAUAAUUCUUGUAUUAAAUUUCUUUCUCCAGUUUCCAAACGUAGCUACAUUAAAAAA